GAUGAACGCUGGCGGCGUACCUAACGCAUGCAAGUCGAACGGGGGGUUGAGUAGCAAUACGAAACUCCUAGUGGCAAACGGGUGAGUAACACGUAGGUAACCUAUCUCGAAGUGGGGAAUAACGAACCGAAAGGUUCGCUAAUACCGCAUACGGUUUCACAUGUAAUGUGUGCAACUAAAGCCGUAAGGCGCUUUGAGCGGGACCUGCGGCCCAUCAGGUAGUUGGUGAGGUAAUGGCCCACCAAGCCGAUGACGGGUAGCUGUUCUGAGAGGAAGACCAGCCACACUGGCACUGAGACACGGGCCAGACUCCUACGGGAGGCAGCAGCGAGGAAUAUUGCGCAAUGGGGGCAACCCUGACGCAGUAACGCCGCGUGCGGGAUGAAGGCUUUCGGGUCGUAAACCGCUUUUCAGGGAGACGAGUGAGGACGGUACCUCUGGAAUAAGUCUCGGCUAACUACGUGCCAGCAGCCGCGGUAAAACGUAGGAGGCGAGCGUUAUCCGGAUCACUGGCGU
rnacentral:rRNA from 1 species